rfam:Zea mays cultivar B73 chromosome 10, whole genome shotgun sequence.
AUACUUACCUGGAUGGGGUCUUAUGGCCGAUCAAGAAGAGCCAUGGCCUAGGCUAGUGGCCUCCAUUGCACUUGGGAGGAGCACUAGUUUACCAUCUCCUCAAAGAGAGUGGACAUCAUAAUUUGUGAUAGAGGGGAUACGCGUUCGCGCGGUCCCUAU